GAUGAAGAACGUAGCGAAAUGCGAUAAGUAAUGUGAAUUGCAGAAUUCAGUGAAUCAUCGAGUCUUUGAACGCACAUUGCGCCCCCUGGUAUUCCGGGGGGCAUGCCUGUCCGAGCGUCAUUGCCGCCCUCAAGCACGGCUUGUGUGUUGGGCCCCCGCCCCCCGGCUUCGGGGGGCGGGCCCGAAAGGCAGCGGCGGCACCGCGUCCGAUCCUCGAGCGUAUGGGGCUUCGUCACCCGCUCUGUAGGCCCGGCCGGCGCCCGCCGGCGACCCCAAUCAAUCUUUCCAGGUUGACCUCGGAUCAGGUAGGGAUACCCGCUGAACUUAAGCAUAUCAAUAAGCGGAGGA
rnacentral:misc_RNA from 1 species